UUUUGUUUGGGAAACAACACAAAUCAUAGAUACACAUUUGGGCAGAAAUAAGAAACUAAUCAGAUCUAACAAACGAUCUCACUUCGUGCAAGGAUGUCUCGCACUUUUAAAUUAAAAUUGCUUUUUUUUCACAGAAACAAACAAAAACUAAGAUUAUAUAGACACUUUUUAAAGUGGGAAAACGUUUACCCUUUUAAGAUUAUUUAAAUAAUAAUUAUACUUAGUCUGCAUCGUCACAUUUCUUUAGAAUUGCGGGAUACUUUAUGAGAAAUCAUAUUUAAGACGCAGGUUGAGACACAAAAACAAUGAAAAAGCAGUGCGGUGAAAUACAAAAUCACGUCCUGUGUCCCAGCGCUAUUACGGAGUUCACGUCGUCUUAAAUAUGCAAAAGUCUCUUGUUCAUGUCAAACCAAUUUAAUCUGUAAAUGAACAAUUCGUGAUCGACGGGCAGAUAUGGCAACUCAUACGUAAUGGUAAGUAGUCUAAGUUAGUUCCAUUAACGCGUGAAAACUCUGCUUGCAUAUUUAUUUAUUUUAAGUUUGUUUCUGUGAUUUGCGACGACCUUUCUCCGUGUUUGAUUGGGUUUUGCUGAACGGGAAGAGCCGCCUACAGCCCGCUCAGGGGGCGCGGCCUCAAACACCGCCGAAUAAGACUAGGUGAAAGCUGAUUCGCUGGAAGCGAAAAACGUCACUUCCGCAAGUUUCUUAAGUACGUGAGACAGACGUCCGUUAGCCACGUUUUGCUUUCGAUCGUCGGAGAGUGAGCUUGUCUCGUUUGUGGCGACUUAAAAACUUUUUUUUGUGCUAUUUCAACCACUAGACGAUUGUUUUGUUUCUCUCAAAUCGUUUACUUCCGGCAAACCAAAGACGUUUUUAUUUGGUGAUGUGUCUUGAAUUCGCGACAAUGAAGGGAAACUACCAGAAGGACAUCGAGGCCGCGCCUGUUCACAAGAAAAAGUGGUCGAAAUCAAAGAGGAGGACAUUUCUACGCGCGAGUAUGAGCGAAAGGAGGCGAAAGGUCCGCGUCUGGUCGGCCAGGAGACGGCAGCCGAGUCCGGACAGCGUCGACGUUACGAGGAACCGAAGUUGCGUGCCGUCUGUAGCCAUGGCACCCAGAAACACGACGCAGUACUUAAUGGACCUGGUGUACGCCGAGCAGUCAGACGUUUUUGAUGUAAGCCACGACUUCUCCACGCAGAGUAAUGUCCCGUCUGAUGAGAGCGCUUUCUCAAUGUCGGACUCUGACUACGACAGAUCUUUGGACUUUCAACAGAGAGACUUCGAGAACGUGUUCUUCAGGAAUGAAAUCUGACGCGUUUCCGAAACCGGACUCGAUUUCGUCGGAACGAGACGACUGGGCUGCCGCGAACCCAUAGACAGUAAUACCAUUGCGCAGACUCCAACUCGGGCAGGCGGAACGCUCUGCGUCACGGCUGCGUGAUGACGUGUGCACCACGCCCCGCCCCCGGUACGGCGGCCACCACGUGGCCAGCAGGUAAACCCGCUCCACCCUUUGUGUACGCGGUGUAAGAGCGCUGCGGUAGCGUGCUGUCGCGGUGUAAUUACUGAGAAAUGUGCAUGCAUUGUUCUGCCAACGGAUGCAUGUGUGUUUUGGGAGACUUUUGCAGGUCGCUGAUCCUCCUCGGUGGAUUUCAGCUGUCUGUGCAACCCACCCAGAGCCUUGGGACAAAGCCGCAUGGCUGCCUGCUCAUCACUGCUGGGUAACUGUGGUAAACGUUUGAAUGUAAAUCCUACACAAGUGCACUCAGAGCUACGAUUCGUAUGAUACACGUUGUGAGAACGUUUGUAAAUAUUGAUUGUAUUAUCUAUUAAAAUUGUUAAUUAUUGAAACUCG